rnacentral:lncRNA from 1 species
GGUACAGAGUCAAUGUGGAGGCUAUAUACAGGGUAUUACGGUACAGAGUCAAUGUGGAGGCUAUAUACAGGGUAUUACGGUACAGAGUCAAUGUGGAGGCUAUAUACAGGGUAUUACGGUACAGAGUCAAUGUGGAGGUUAUAUACAGGGGGUACCGGUACAGAGUCAAUGUGGAGGCUAUAUACAGGGUAUUACGGUACAGAGUCAAUGUGGAGGCUAUAUACAGGGGGUACAGGUACAGAGUCAAUGUUGAGGCUAUAUACAGGGGGGUACCGGUACAGAGUCAAUGUGG